GAUGUAUGUUCGAAAUCUUGUGAUGUAUAUUCGAAAUCUUGUGAUGUAUGUUCGAUAAUCUUGUGAUGUAUAUUCGAAAUCUUGUGAUGUGUGUUCUACAAUUCAGUGAUGCGUGCAAUAAAAUUGCAUGACGCAACAGAAAAGUAAGGACAAUUUUCAUUGGUUAGAAAUAACGAAAGUAGCCGGAGCGGUCGUAAUGCACACAUUGACACAACUUCGCAAGCAUGAAAUUGGCGAAUUCAACCUAAAGUCAAAAUUAUAGGAACUUUACGUAGGUCUACAGUUUUAAUGUUGGACUCAUGCACUAGGAAUAUCAUAUCAGCAGAAUUGUGCCACUGAAUCAAAGGGAACUCUUUUUUUUUUAGGAGUAGCCUCCCCUUUUAAAGAUCCAAAAUGGUGAUUUUACAGUGCGGCAUGCAGUCUGUCAUCAACGAAGAGUUUUGACACCUGUAAUACCCAUAUUUCUACCAUUCACCUCUGUAACCUUUGUUGAGUUCAUCAGACUGUCCAAGACAGGAAGUUGAGGAAUAAAGUUGACAGGACAUCCUGAACUGUCCUCGCUACCAGCUUAUGAGGGAACCAGCUGCAGUGGACAAAGUACGUUACAUCAUAGGAUAAUAGCAUUGAAUUGGAUUCUUGAACCAGAGCCAUGUGAACCUGGUCCACCUGUACCUCUCAUUGAAGACCUGUUAACAUCACCAGAGUAUGUUCAUUCUGAUACCCCUAUGGUAUGGUUACAGCAUGCAUUAUCCCUGAAUCCAUUAAAAGAGCUGCAUUGGCAACGAAACAACCCAAUGUGGUCGAUUGUAAGGAAAUAUAGCAUAUCAGCUUCCAACUUUGGUGCAGUUCUCAGUUCUAAGCAAAGGCGAUUGACAUUGUCACUGAAGAAACAGCUGAUGUCGGCUUACAAUCUGGAGUCCAUCAAGGCUGUUGCAUGGGGUAUCACUCAUGAAGAUGAUGCUUUGAGAAAGUAUGAAAAGGACUUAGAUGCAGCUGUAGAGCAGUCAGGAUAUGGUUGCAUGAAUCCGGAGUGUUGGGAGCUUCACCUGAUGGCUUAGUUAUUCGACCACCAACAUGCAGUGUAUUUUAUCAAACUCCAGAAGCCAAAGACGCCAUUCCUAAUAUUGUAGAGGUGAAGUGUCCAUAUACAGCAUCGUCUUCAACAGUAGCAGAUGGGGCACAAACUUUGAAGGAUUUUUCAUAGAUCUUAAACAAGAUACCCUGUGCCUGAAAACCAGUCACCCAUACUAUCAUCAAAUUCAAGGCCAGCUACACAUAUGUAACAAAACAUUCUGCGACUUAAUUGUGUGGACAAGAGUAGACUGCAUUGUGAUUAGAAUAGUAAAAGACAUUGAAUGGACAGCAAAUGUUCCAAAGCUGAUAGAUUUCUACAUUAACAUUUUCAUUCCAGCACUGAUGGAAAACUGAGUUCUGGUUUGAACUUCUUGACACUUAGUUUUGUACCUCUAGAAUUUUCUAACAAUGGAAAAUGGGUAAUCAUGUUAAAUGUGUUGAAUGUUCCUAAGUCUCAUAAAUGUAUGAUAUGAUAUGUCACAAUCCAUCAUAAAACUUCUGGCUUAUAAGACUAUUUUAAAUAGCAAUGAUGAUUAAUAAAAUCUAUGUACUACAUAAAAAAAGAAUAUCAAAAUUUAGAAUCAUUUUAUUAAUGAAUUGAAGAUGUUAUUCUCAAAGUGAAAAUGUAACAUUUUGGUCUUUCUUAAUAGAUAAAUUGUUGAAAACAUGAA